UACGAAGGUGGCAAGCGUUGUUCGGAUUCACUGGGCGUACAGGGUGUGUAGGCGGUUUGGUAAGCCUUCUGUUAAAGCUUCGGGCCCAACCCGGAAAGCGCAGAGGGUACUGCCAGGCUAGAGGACGGGAGAGGAGCGCGGAAUUCCCGGUGUAGCGGUGAAAUGCGUAGAGAUCGGGAGGAAGGCCGGUGGCGAAGGCGGCGCUCUGGGCCGAUACUGACGCUGAGGAGCGAAAGCAUGGGUAGCGAACAGG
rnacentral:rRNA from 1 species